UCGUUAACGAACGAGACCUCGACCUGCUAAAUAGUUGGGCGAACCUUUCGGGGUUUGCAUUGACUUCUUAGAGGGACUUUUGGUGAGUAGCCAAAGGAAGUUCGAGGCAAUAACAGGUCUGUGAUGCCCUUAGAUGUUCUGGGCCGCACGCGCGCUACACUGAUCGGUUCAUCGAGUUUACAACCUUGGCUGAUAGGCCUGGGUAAUCUUCUCAAAGCCGGUCGUGCUGGGGAUAGAUCAUUGCAAUUAUUGAUCUUCAACGAGGAAUUCCUAGUAAACGCGAGUCAUCAACUCGCAUUGAUUACGUCCCUGCCCUUUGUACACACCGCCCGUCGCUAAUACCGAUUGAAUGGAUA
rnacentral:rRNA from 1 species